ensembl:lncRNA
UUUGGGUCACAACAUGGGAGAAUGAGUGGUUGGACACUUCGGGUUGGGCGUUGGGAAGCUAGUGGGAAAGAAGCAAAGAGGCCCUCGGCUAGAGUUGCCGGGUGGUAUCUAAGGCUGAUGUAAGGUGAUGUCCCAGCAGGGGUCGAAGGGUUAAGUUCCUUACCCUUGGUAGUAGAGUAAGCCAAGAAAAGGGAGGGGGGCAAUUGGCAAUACUAUCUCUGGCAGCUAUUUGAAGGUCUUUUAAGUUGGGGCAGGUGACUUAGGGGGUCCCUGCCUGGCCUAGGCAAAGCCUUUGGCUUGAAAGGACCUUCAGUCGUUUGUGAUCAGGUCCUCUUGAUGUUUGUGUCCUCUUUUGAGGGGAUGGAAACCUUCUCUAGAAGGAACAAGAGAGCUUACAGAGGCUUCAGCCUUUUCUCUCCCAGGAGCCCUGACUGCAAGGAUCCUGAACAAAAGUGCUGAUUUGCAAACUCUGCAGUGGCUUACUUUAUCUGGUUCCAUCUUUUCCUCAUCCUCAGGACAAAGCUUUCCUUCAGGGCAACUUCUAGAUUUCCUAUUUCAUCACCCCAAGCAAAUCUUUCACACAACUCCUUCUAUUCAUGCACACUCAGAAGAACUGGCCAAAAGCUGGUCAAGCUCUACACACCCUCCUUUUUGCAGCAUUUGCCUUUGAAUCUCCGCCAAGACUGAGUAAUUGAAAACCAGCAGCCAGAAUCCCAUAGAAGGCUAUCACCAACCAAGAUUCAACAGCUCUCUUCUCAGUUGGCAAAUAGGCUGGAAUAUUCUGGGGAAGAAUGCUCAAAUGUUAACUUGCUUUAAAGGACACAUUGUUUAAUGGGUAAUAGACUGACACUCAAUAAUGGGGACCAUUCCCGUUACCCAAAGUCACAAUCCUUUCAUCCUUUUAUUCAUUCAAUAACCAUUUCUGAAGCACCUACCGUGCCCAAAGCAUCGUGCUAGGCACUGGCAUGGGAUACAAAGGGCAACAGGGGUGCCACAGCAGAUUGAGGGUCGGACCUGGAGUCAGAAAACCUUGAGGGACGCUAGCCGUGUGACCCUGACUAAGUCAUAGAACCCGUCUCGAUCUUGGUCACCUCAACUGGAAAAUGGGAAAAACAUUAGUCCCUACUUCCUAGGGCUAUUGUGAGAAUCAAAUGAGAGAACAUAUAGAAAAUGGCUUUGCCAACUUUAAGACACAAAAUAAAUGUCAGCUGUUAUACAAAGGGAAAUAAGCCUUGGUCCCUGAUGGGGUAGAUAUCAUCCAAACAGUUCAAACGCCCUCCUACACUAAUGAUGUUCUAUUUAAUUACCUGCCAUUUAUUUGGUAUUGUUUCUAAAUAUACCUGUUUAUGUAUACAUUGUCUCCCUUAAAAGAACACAAGCUCCUGAAGAAAAGGGGCUGUCUAGAUUUUAUCUUUCUAUUCUUAGCCACUAGCACAGAAGUAUUCUUUUAUCAAGUUUUUAUUAAGCACACUUGAUAAAACUUGAUAAAAGAAUACUAUCCAAGAGCUAUAGCAGCACAGAAACUAAGAAGAUAAUACAGUUGUGUAUAAUUGUAUUCUUUGCUAGUUCUUUUUUUUUUUUUUAAGUAAUCCAAAGGGCAACUUUAUCAAGUUCUUAUUAAGCACCUACUAUGUAGGUACUAUAUAGUAGGUG